rnacentral:rRNA from 1 species
AUGAGACCAUCACCUACCAAUGGUCCAUACACACACACACCUUGUUCCUUUUUGACCGGCCGCAUGCGUAGCAGAAGCAAACACUCCAACUCCACGGCCAUGGAGCUCCUCCCCUUCCUCCUCCUGCUACUCCUGGGCGCCACCGUGGCCUCCGGCGAACCGGCGUACCCUGGCUACGGCGCCACCGACGCCGAGCCGGCGUGCGGCGUGAAGGAGGAGGCGGCGGUGCCUGUGCCGGAGAGGCGCGAGGAGUUCGACGGCGGGCGGAUCCUGGACAUCAGCCACUACUACCGGGAGGACAUGCCGGCGUUCGAGUCGGCGGAGGGCACUCCCGGGUUCCUGCGGCUGGCCCGGUCCAUGCGCAACGGCUCCGACAUCGCCAACUUCUCCGAGCUCCGGCUCACGGCGCACUCCGGCACCCACGUCGACGCGCCGGGCCACGUCUUCGAACACUACUACGACGCCGGCUUCGACGUCGACACGCUCGACCUCGCCGUCCUCAACGGACCAGCGCUGUUGGUUGAUGUUCCAAGGGACAGCAACAUAACAGCUGAUGUCAUGGAAUCCUUGCAUAUUCCUAAAGGUGUCCGCCGUGUACUCUUCAGAACCUUAAACACCGACAGAAAGCUUAUGUGGAAGAAAGAGUUUGAUUCAAGUUAUGUUGGCUUCAUGGAGGACGGUGCUCAGUGGUUGAUUGAUAACACUGUCAUCCAACUAGUUGGAGUUGAUUACUUGUCUGUGGGAGCAUAUGAUGAAUGUAUUCCAGCUCAUCUAGUUUUUCUUGAUAAAAGGGAAGUCAUCCUUGUGGAAGCAUUAAACCUUGAACAUGUUGCCACUGGAAUAUACACCUUGCAUUGCUUGCCACUAAGGUUGCGCGGCGCUGAAGGUUCUCCAGCGAGAUGCAUCCUCAUCAAGUAA